rnacentral:tRNA from 1 species
UGGCUCAGUUGGAAGAGCAUGAGACUCUUGAUCUUGGUGUUGUGGGUACAAGCCCCAU